CAACCCUUGACAUGGGCGUCGCGGUUACCGGAGACGGUAUCCUUCAGUUCGGCUGGACGCCACACAGGUGCUGCAUGGCUGUCGUCAGCUCGUGUCGUGAGAUGUUCGGUUAAGUCCGGCAACGAGCGCAACCCACACUCCCAGUUGCCAGCAGGUCAAGCUGGGCACUCUGGGAGAACUGCCGAUGAUAAGUCGGAGGAAGGUGUGGAUGACGUCAAGUCCUCAUGGCCCUUACGGGUUGGGCUACACACGUGCUACAAUGGUGGUGACAGUGGGUUAAUCCCCAAAAGCCAUCUCAGUUCGGAUUGUCGUCUGCAACUCGAC
rnacentral:rRNA from 1 species